rnacentral:rRNA from 1 species
AGAGUUUGAUCCUGGCUCAGAACGAACGUUAGCGGCGCGCUUAACACAUGCAAGUCGCACGAGAAAGGGCUUCGGCCCCGGUACAGUGGCGCACGGGUGAGUAACACGUGGGUAAUCUUCCCAAUGGCGGGGGAUAACCUUCCGAAAGGAGGGCUAAUACCGCAUAAGACCACGGUUUCGAAAGAGACUGAGGUUAAAGC